UACAGAGGUGGCAAGCGUUGUUCGGAAUUACUGGGCGUAAAGGGCGCGUAGGCGGCCUUCUAAGUCAGACGUGAAAUCCCCGGGCUUAACUUGGGAACUGCGUCUGAUACUGGGAGGCUUGAGUGCGGGAGAGGAAAGCGGAAUUCCUGGUGUAGCGGUGAAAUGCGUAGAUAUCAGGAGGAACACCGGCGGUGUAGACGGCUUUCUGGACCGUAGCUGACGCUGAGACACGAAAGCGUGGGUAGCAAACAGG
rnacentral:rRNA from 1 species